CUCCAGCUCUAUACCCACCUU
rnacentral:siRNA from 1 species